UUAACCCAUGUCCUCCAUAACAAGCUUAACCCACCAUGAACAAAUUGAAGGAACAAUAUUGGUUCACAAGUGUUAUAGAAACAAGGCAAGGGAAAUCAAUUCUUUCAACUCAUUUCCCUUUAUCUGUUAUGGAGAUAAACAACUUUUUAUAAGUAUUAAGGAUUUGAAGAGGAAUACGAAGCUUAAAGGUCUGGGUUUGGGUUUGAGGCUUAAAGCUUGGAAAGCUUACGUUUAUCACGUAGUUUUGUGCAACAUUAGUUCAGUUUGUGUAGGAAUGGUAUAGGAUGAGUUCCCCCUUAUCCAAAACUCAUCUUUAUGUUAAAUUCAUGUUUAGAAGUUGUAUUUUACGAAUGAGGUUGAUUGGGAAUGGAUUCAUACUAUUUUUUUACUUGCUAAAA